CCUACGGGAGGCUGCAGUGAGGAAUAUUGGUCAAUGGACGAGAGUCUGAACCAGCCAAGUAGCGUGAAGGAUGACUGCCCUAUGGGUUGUAAACUUCUUUUAUAUGGGAAUAAAAUGUUCCACGUGUGGGAUUUUGUAUGUACCAUAUGAAUAAGGAUCGGCUAACUCCGUGCCAGCAGCCGCGGUAAUACGGAGGAUCCGAGCGUUAUCCGGAUUUAUUGGGUUUAAAGGGAGCGUGGGUGGAUUGUUAAGUCAGUUGUGAAAGUUUGCGGCUCAACCGUAAAAUUGCAGUUGAAACUGGCAGUCUUGAGUACAGUAGAGGUGGGCGGAAUUCGUGGUGUAGCGGUGAAAUGCUUAGAUAUCACGAAGAACUCCGAUUGCGAAGGCAGUUCACUGGACUGCAACUGACACUGAGGCUCGAAAGUGUGGGUAUCAAACAGGAUUAGAUACCCUUGUAGUC
rnacentral:rRNA from 1 species